UGUGUGUGUGUGUGUGUGUGUGUGUGUGUGUGUUUGUGUGUGUGUGUGUGUGUGUGUCUGUGUGUGUGUGUGUGUGUGUGUGUGUGUGUGUGUGUGUGUGUGUGUGCAUAUAUAUGUGUGUGUGUGUAACUAAGAAAAGAUACUGAGAGCAGAACGGAAACACAUUUACACUAGUUGUGUGUGUGUGUGUGUGUGUGUGUGUGAGAGAGAGAGUGUGUGUGCUGUGUAAACUUUUCUGUAAACAUUAAGUUAGAGACGUGGGUAUUUUUGAAAGGAAGUAGCUGAAACAGAUGUUUAGAAAGACAGAAACAUAAACUUCUCAGCAAACAAACAUAUAAGCAAAACACACACACACUCACACACGAACGCAUGUAUCCAGAUGAAAGGAACGAAUGAUAUCGUGACGUUUGUAGUUGCGCGUCAUGGAGGGGGGGGGGGGGUCAGUCGUUCGGAUAGCAAGGGGGGAGGGGGAGGAGGGCAUUAAAGAUAGAAGGAAAGAUUACGGUAGAAAACAUGGCGGAAAAGCAAACUAAUAUUCUCUGCAUCACAUUAAAAGAAAUAUAUAAUUUUCUUUCGUUAUACCUUACGAUUGUCAACGUUUUAUAUUUUUUUUCCAUAUGUUUCUAUUUUUCCCUAAGUUAAUAAACAAAUUAAUCCAUA